rnacentral:sRNA from 1 species
GGAGUGUGAGAGCUAGGUGGGCUGGGGGCUUGGGGUGAUGUGAAUGAGGAGAAACAGUGGGGAGCUGCCAAGAGUGAUGGGCUCCAGCACCCCCGGGUGAUUUUCACACAGAAAGGAAGGUGGCCACCCUGCCAGCAUGUACAGACAUGGCUGGAUCCACCCUCUA